UUCCCAGAGGAACAUACAUCUUUUCUACUGGGUCUUCAGUGGGAAGACUACACCCUUUCUACAGGAUCCCUGCUCCAGCAGAACCACACCUGACAGUCCAGGAGGGCUGAGCCACCAUUCCAACUGGGCUGCUACCAGCACCCUGACCCACAGGGUGUCAGGUUGUAUUCUGACUCUAACAUGUCCUUGCAGACAGGCCUGGGAGGCAGAGCUGGAGCUGCUGGAAGGCAGCAGAUGCUGGGCUGAGCUCCACAAGAUCAAGAAGUGCAUCAGCAGAGCCUGAGCUGGGUAAAUAACCCUGUUCCCCAUGGGUCCUCCUGAAGGGCAGUCUUGGAGCAGCACUGCCUGUGUUAGGGAUCAAUCCAGACUGGCUGUGAUUUCAAGAAAGUGGGAUUUUGUCCCUGCUGCAAGAGAGGGCUGCCUAAACUCCUCUACAGUGAGCUUUUUUUCUAGUUCAUUUGCAAAAGCAUUUAAGUUAGAGGUCUCCCUUUCAAAUAAAAUCUUUUCAGAUUAUCCCCUCAGGAAGCAGAUUUUGGCAGAAAUUUUCAUGUCACUGAACUUGCUUUGAUUUUAUUUCUAUUCUGGUUUUGGAUUUUCUUUUUAAAUUUUUUUAAAAAUACUCAUUUUAAGUUAUGGAGUGGAAGGCUGGCUCCACAAUUUAGAAAAAUGUUUGUUCAUUCAAGGAAAAAAAAAAAAAUCAGUCCCCUUGUUCUGCUGUGAUCUUGGUAACUUUAUAACACAUCAAUCAUUGAUAGUCCAUUAAAGUCCUUAAAUGAAUUAUCACUUGGCCAAGGGAUUUUGGGUACUUCAUGCUUGGGUUGAAAUGUGUCCUUGCCCUGCCUUUGGCAAAGAGGUUCCAUUCCCAGGGUGGGAUUUUCUUGGCUGUGGAGGCUGAUGGAAAUCUCUGAUGAGCUCCUGCCUGCUCUGUAUUUCCCGCACACCUUUCACAAUUUCUGCGCUUUCGGGGAGCAUGUCUUGCCUGCUCAAACUUGACUCCCUUUUUGGGCUUUAAAUAUUGAGAGCAGAUCAAUAUCUCAUGAACCUCCUCGGUGGAGAUGAGUGUGAUUUGCUGGGAGCUGUAUCAGCCUCUUCCCUUUCUCUCCUAAUUCCCACUACAAACUCAUUAAGUCGUGCCACAGGCAGAGAUCCAUCAAAGGCUGUAAGUGCUGUGGAUGUUUCCUGAAGUGUCUCAUUCAGAGCAUGAUGAGCUUUGAGUGCUUCUCCUAAUGCAGGCACAAUCCAGAGUUACUGGUGUGCUCUUAACUAAUAAACCUUCAGCUGCAGCCCAGAAUAGCAAACUCUGUAAUCACAGAAAAUUGCUUUCUGAUGGGUGAAAAUGCACGAGCUGGGGUGGAGAUCUGCUUCCCUCCCCCUUCUCUUUUCUUAAGGCACUGAGUAGGAAGGUGGAGAGGGGAAAGGGAGGCAGGAGCAGCCAUCCUCCUCCUCACUGUCACGAUGGCUCUUUUGGUGUUUGGUUAUCCCUGCAAAUUGACAUUUUAGGAUGAAUGGGACCUCUCCAGGUCACUGUGAAAGUUUCCCCAGUCUGGGAUUCAUCCAGGAGGUUGCUGAGCCUUCCAUGGUGGUGCCAAGUCCAUUUUUCCCUGGAAAAAGACUGGUUUUGGUUAGUCUGCUUCACCUCAGGCUGGCUCAUCUAAUUAAUUGACACCUAUGAGAAUAUGAGGCACAAAAAUCCCUCCAAGCACCUUCAAGAACUUCGUAUCUAAAUUCAAAGACUAUUCAAGGACUGAGGCUCUGGCUACUAAAUAUUAAUACUCAUAAAGUAAUAUUUAUCCUUAUCUUCUUCCAUUCUACCUCUUUCCUUCCUUUAUGCUUCAGUAAAUCAAGAUAAGACCAUCAAACAGUAUCACCAAAAAUCUGUUGUAUCUUAGCUGGAACAAGUAAUUAUCUGUGUUUCUAAGCACCUGAUGAGCUUUAAUGCAGAAAUUAAGGUGCUCUCUCAGCUGGUUUCUGGCUGAAAGGAGGAAAGGAUGGUCUGGAGCACAUGUGUCAAAAACAGGAGCAGAGGGGCUCAGCCAAAAUCACACACUGUCCACUGGGACCAUGACUGGAAUCAUGGGAUCGUGGAAUUUCCUGAGCUGGAAGGGACCCACAAGGAUCAUUGAGUCCAACUCCUGGCCCUGCACAGGUGAAUCCCAGCAAUCCCACCCUGUUCCUGAGAGGGUUGCCCAAGAUCUUUUUAACUCUCACGUUUGAGGCUGUGUCCAUUCCCUGCAGAGCUUAUUCAGUGCACAACCACCCUCUGGGUGGGGAGCCUUUUCCUAAUAUCCCCCUAACCCUUCCCUGACACCUCUCUAGCUGUUCCUUGGAUCUUCUCACUGGUCACCAGAGAGCUCCAGGAGGUCACCACUGAAUCUCAAGGCUGUAGGAGGCUGUGCAGGGCUGAGGGUUGUCCCCAUUUUGUGCGUGCCUUCUGCCAUUGAGUGGUGGCCAUGGAAGCACUCAGGAGGCACCAGGGGAUGUCUGGCAGAGUCAGCACCAGGCCACUGCACCCAUGGCUUCCCCUGAUGCUGGUGCAGCAAGGAGAUGAGUUUUGGUGGCAUGGCAGUGCUUCCAGGCCAUGUGUUGUGUGUUCCUUCCAAGGCAGAGCUGUCAGGCCUGGGGAGCUGUGAUCUGUGGGAAACAGCAGUAGGUCCAAGGAUGAGUUGAUGAGGUGUCAGAUGAAGGUCAGGGCUAGCUGGGAGGGAGUGUUUCUUUCCCUCCAUGGCUGCUGAGAUGCUUGGGGGAAUUGAAGAGGACACAGAAGCUGUGGGAUGACCCUAUACUCUGAGGGCAGAGGUCCUGGACAAGGGGGAAACCUCCAGUGGCUGCAACUCCACCCACACUCAGUCUCUGCCUCUCUUCCUCUUGCUGUGUUUGGGCUGGAAAAAACCCUUGAGUGCAAGAGGACCCUCUCAGCACCCUGCCAAGACCAGGGCCAGAACAGCAGCUGCAUCAUGGGGCCAUUCCCACAGCGAUGAUGUCCUGCAUGGGAAGCUGUUUGGGUCCUGGAGGGGGUUCCUUGGGCUCCAAGCUGAAUGGCAGGCCUGGCCAGGACCAACAGGACCCUCUCUGCAAGAGCUCUAGCUGCUUCAGCCCUCUGAGCAGCUAAAGAGUAAACAGUGAAAUGAAAUAGGCACAAACAAGCACAGAGACCAGCAUUCAAGGCUCUUCUGGCCUCGGAUUUGCAACAAAACCUUUUCUCAGCUGGCUUUGAAAAGGGAACCCACACAAGCUCCUUUUGCUAUUCAGCCCAAACACAGGGCUGUUACUCAUUCGAGCCCUCUGAAUGUUCCCUCAGCUCCCUUGGGCUGUGCCAAGAGCACAAACAGAGGCCACUGGCUGGAGGUGGGCAGGAAACGUCAGCAACGCGUUUUCCAGAGCGGGGUAAGCAGGGCACAUCCCAACACUCUCCUCCUGUUUCUUGCUGUGGAAAGUGGG